rnacentral:tRNA from 1 species
GGGUCGUUGGUUCAGUGGCUAGAACGCGUCUCUGAUAAAGACGAGGUCGAUGGUUCGAUUCCAUCACGACCCA